UAUAAGAAGAAGAAAAAAUUCAUGAGAAGCAAAAUUUUAACAUGCCUAAUUUUUAGGUUAAUUAAUUGGGUUUUUGUAUCAAUUCUCUAUAAGAUGAAUUUGUCCUCUAUCCCUCGUGUGUUUUCUUUGUUUAGUUUGGUUUGUCUUUUUUUCUUUUUUUAAUUUUUUAAUUUUUUCUUAGGUUUCUUUUUCUUAUAUAACAAAUAUGGCAUCUUAUUAAACUUUUCUUGAUGAAUGAAGUAUGGCAUCUUAUUAAACUUUGCUUGAUGAAUGAAGUUCUUAAUAUUCUACGAAUCAAAAUAGAAAAAACACCCUCAUAGGUUUGGGUAGAGUGUGGGGAGGGUAACCCCGACCCUUGUACCACUAAAAAAAUAUCUUUUGUGUUUUCUUUUUCUUUUCCUUUUCUUUUUCUAAAUGCAUAUUUUCAUUAUUGAGUUUUAGGAUUUUUUUUUUUCUUUUUUCUUUCAUGCUUUUUGAAUGUUGCGCCUAUUCUCUUUUUACUUUUAUUCUACAAUCUCACUUGGAUCAAUAUCGAACAACAACACAUUAUUAUAAAUUAUUUUUCAUUAUGAACUGUAAAAUGCAAAUUGAAUACUGGCAAUAUAAAUUAUAAAACUAAGUUAGGCUGGUAGGAUCGGAGGUGGGGUAUGAAUGGAGCCGGUGAGAGAGGGGUCCAGAGGGUAGGGAUUGGAUACGGAGUUUGAUUGAGUGUGUAAAAAUACAUACAUUUUAAUAGAAUAGUAGGACUUAUAAUUUUAGAUAGGAUGAUCAUUAAUUACACUUUUUGUAUUUUGUAUAUUAUUCGCACAUUAAAAAAAUGUGUGAACAAAUUCAUUUUCAUUACACAUGAGACAAUAUUUACUAAACAGGAAUGGGAUGGGCAUGUGGUAAGGGUCCUCAAACACAUAUACCCACCAUGUUGCCAUCCUCAUAAUUACAGAAUUAAUCAAAUAUCUAAAGUCUGUGCGCUUUACUUAGAAUAGAGGUCACUAGUUUUUUUUUUUUUUGGUAGAAAAAUUCUCCCUACUCUCCCUCAGGUCCAAGGCAACGCCUCUUUGUAGAGAUUACCAAAGUGUCCUAUUAGCCGUUCCGAGCGAGGAGACUAUAACUUGAGAACUUGCCCCGAUCUCCCAAGACAAGCUCCGCUUAAGUCAAGACUCGCACAGCGGGGAGCAUUGAACCCACAUCAAAUACUGCUUAAACAACUUGAGGUCACUAGUUGAAUUACCCCUUUUCUAAAAAAAAAAUUGUACAAAUAAUAGGUUUAUGUAGCUUGUCUGACCAAAAUUUUACCAACCAAAGUGAUAAUAUACGUGUCCUAAGAUACACGUUUUACAAUUUUGGAUCAAAACUCAAUUCAA